AUGGCGGACGGCGAGGGCGGCGCCGACGGCCUGGCGGAGAGGCUCGCGGGGGCGGAGAUCGCCGCGGACGGUGGCGGCGGCGAGGAGCCGAGGGUCUCGAAGAACGCCCAGAAGAAAGAGGAGAAGAGGAGGAAGCAGGAGGAGCAGCGCCGGCUCAAGGAGGAAGAGAAGAAGAACAAGGCGGCUGCUGCGGCGGCGGCCGGUGGAGCGCCCCAGCAGGCGGCUGCGGCGGCCGAUGAUGAGGACAUGGAUCCUACUCAAUAUUACGAGAACAGGCUCAGGACCCUUGAUGCACUCAAGGCCGGGGGUGCCAACCCCUAUCCGCAUAAGUUCCUAGCUAGCAUCUCUGUGCCUGGAUAUAUUGAGAAAUACAAGGGCCUUAAUGAGGGGGAGAAGCUUGCUGAUGUUACAGAGUGUCUAGCAGGGAGGAUCAUGAACAAGAGAACAUCAUCUUCUAAGCUCUUAUUUUAUGAUCUUUAUGGUGAUGGCGUGAAGGUUCAAGUAAUGGCUGAUGCCAGGACCUCGGAGUUGGAAGAUACUGAAUUCUCUAGUUUCCAUUCUGGUGUGAAGCGAGGGGAUAUUGUUGGUAUAUGUGGAAUUCCAGGAAAAAGCAAUAGAGGGGAGCUCAGUGUAUUCCCACGGAAAUUUGUUGUGCUCUCUCCUUGUCUUCAUAUGAUGCCCCGGCAGAAGAGUGAAGGAAGUGCGGUGCCUACACAAUGGGCCCCAGGAAUGUGUAGGAAUAUCGAAAAGUAUGUUUUGAGGGACCAGGAAACUCGUUAUCGUCAACGAUACCUUGAUCUUAUGGUAAACCAUGAAGUGAGACAUAUCUUCAAGACCCGAUCCAAGAUUGUCUCGUUUAUUCGAAGGUUUCUUGAUGGACUUGAUUUUUUGGAGGUGGAGACUCCAAUGAUGAACAUGAUUGCCGGUGGAGCCGCUGCAAGGCCUUUUGUCACACACCAUAAUGAUCUAAACAUGAAGCUUUAUAUGCGUAUUGCACCUGAGCUUUAUCUGAAGGAAUUGGUUGUUGGUGGAUUGGACCGUGUCUAUGAAAUUGGGAAGCAGUUCAGGAAUGAAGGGAUUGAUUUAACACAUAAUCCUGAAUUCACAACAGUCGAGUUUUAUAUGGCGUAUGCAGAUUACAAUGACUUGAUGGAGCUUACUGAAGCCAUGAUAUCUGGUAUGGUUAAGGAGCUGACAGGUGGGUAUAAGAUAAAAUAUCAUGCCAAUGGAGUUGAUAAUCCACCGAUAGAGAUUGAUUUCACGCCUCCCUUUAGAAGGAUAGACAUGAUUGAAGGACUGGAGGCUAUGGCCAAACUGGAGAUACCAAAAGAUAUAUCCAGUGAUGAAACAAACAAGUAUCUGAUAGAUGCAUGUGCCAAGUAUGAUGUUAAAUGUCCACCUCCCCAGACAACAACACGGCUGCUUGACAAGCUAGUGGGCCAUUUCUUGGAGGAAACAUGUGUGAACCCAACAUUUAUUAUCAACCACCCAGAGAUAAUGAGUCCAUUGGCAAAGUGGCAUAGGUCCCGACCUGGGUUGACAGAAAGGUUUGAGCUCUUUGUUAACAAACACGAGGUGUGCAAUGCCUACACUGAGUUGAACGAUCCUGUUGUGCAAAGGCAACGGUUUGAGGAACAAUUAAAGGAUCGUCAAUCUGGUGAUGAUGAAGCUAUGGCUUUGGACGAAACAUUCUGCACUGCCCUCGAGUAUGGACUGCCUCCGACUGGUGGUUGGGGUUUGGGAAUUGAUCGCCUUACAAUGAUGCUGACAGAUUCCCAGAACAUCAAGGUUAGGUUAUUUCCAUUAUUUGUGUUCUUUCAUGCAGUGCAACACUUUUUGACUUGCAUUACGGAACUCAUCUUUCUGAUGCAUUUUCAGGAAGUUCUCCUGUUCCCGGCCAUGAAGCCCCAAGAGUAG
rnacentral:rRNA from 1 species